AUUGAACGCUGGCGGCAGGCCUAACACAUGCAAGUCGAACGGUAGCACAGAGAGCUUGCUCUCGGGUGACGAGUGGCGGACGGGUGAGUAAUGUCUGGGAAACUGCCCGAUGGAGGGGGAUAACUACUGGAAACGGUAGCUAAUACCGCAUAACGUCGCAAGACCAAAGUGGGGGACCUUCGGGCCUCACACCAUCGGAUGUGCCCAGAUGGGAUUAGCUAGUAGGUGGGGUAAUGGCUCACCUAGGCGACGAUCCCUAGCUGGUCUGAGAGGAUGACCAGCCACACUGGAACUGAGACACGGUCAGACUCCAACGGGAGGCAGCAGUGGGGAAUUUUGCGCAAUGGGGGAAACCUUGACGCAGCAAUGCCGCGUGGAGGAUGAAGGUCCUCGGAUUGUAAACUCCUUUUGCAGGGGACAAAUUGGCGGAUGAAAAAUCCGCUUUGAUGGUACUCUGUGAAUAAGCCACGGCUAACUUCGUGCCAGCAGCCGCGGUAA
rnacentral:rRNA from 1 species